rnacentral:rRNA from 1 species
AUUGAACGCUAGCGGGAUGCCUUACACAUGCAAGUCGAACGGAGUGGCGAACGGGUGAGUAAUGUAUCGGAACGUGCCCAGUAGCGGGGGAUAACUACGCGAAAGCGUAGCUAAUACCGCAUACUAUUGGAGCGGCCUAUAUCGGAUUAGUUAGUUGGUGGGGUAACGGCUCACCAAGGCGACGAUCCGUAGCUGGUUUGAGUGGACGACCAGCCACACAGGGAAUGAGCAACGGCCCAUAAUCCUAGGGGAGGCAGGAGUAGGUAAUUUUGGAGAAUGGGGGAAACCCUGAUCAAGCCAGACGGAGUGAGCGGUGAAGGCCGUCGGGUUGUAAGGCACUUUUGGCAGGAGAGCGGUAACGGCAGAAUAAGCACCGGCUAGCUACGUGACAGCAGCCGCGGUAAUAC